rnacentral:rRNA from 1 species
GAUGAACGCUGACCGAAUGCUUAACACAUGCAAGUCAACUUGAAUUUGGGUUUUUAACUUAGGUUUGGGUGGCGGACGGGUGAGUAACGCGUAAAGAACUUGCCUCACAGCUAGGGACAACAUUUGGAAACGAAUGCUAAUACCUAAUAUUAUGAUAAUAGGGCAUCCUAUAAUUAUGAAAGCUAUAGGCGCUGUGAGAGAGCUUUGCGUCCCAUUAGCUAGUUGGAGAGGUAACGGCUCACCAAGGCGAUGAUGGGUAGCCGGCCUGAGAGGGUGAUCGGCCACAAGGGGACUGAGACACGGCCCUUACUCCUACGGGAGGCAGCAGUGGGGAAUAUUGGACAAUGGACCAAGAGUCUGAUCCAGCAAUUCUGUGUGCACGAUGAAGUUUUUCGGAAUGUAAAGUGCUUUCAGUUGGGAAGAAAGAAAUGACGGUACCAACAGAAGAAGUGACGGCUAAAUACGUG